rnacentral:rRNA from 1 species
CGAACGGGAAAGGCCCGCAAGGGCUGAGUAGAGUGGCGCACGGGUGAGUAACACGUGGACAACCUGCCUGGGAGUGGGGGAUAACACUUCGAAAGGGGUGCUAAUACCGCAUAACACCAUGGUUGGAAGGCUGUGGUUGAAAGGGGUGAUUCGCUCCUGGAGGGGUCCGCGCCUGAUUAGCUAGUUGGUGAGGUAACGGCUCACCAAGGCGACGAUCAGUAGCCGUCCUGAGAGGGAGCACGGCCACACCGGAACAGACACGGUCCAGACUCCUACGGGAGGCAGCAGUGGGGAAUUUUUGGCAAUGGGGGAAACCCUGACCAAGCAACGCCGCGUGGGUGAUGAAGUAUCUUGGUACGUAAAACCCUUUCGGCAGGGACGAAGAAUGUGACGGUACCUGCGGAAGAAGCUCCGGCUAACUCCGUGCCAGCAGCCGCGGUAAUACGGGGGGAGCAAGCGUUGUUCGGAAUUACUGGGCGUAAAGGGCGCGCAGGCGGUUGGAUAAGAGAGUGGUGAAAACCCUGGGCUCAACCUAGGGCCUGCCAUUCAGACUGUCUGGCUGGAGUGUGGGAGAGGGAAGUGGAAUUCCUGGUGUAGCGGUGAAAUGCGUAGAUAUCAGGAGGAACACCGGUGGCGAAGGCGGCUUCCUAGACCACAACUGACGCUGAGGCGCGAAAGCCAGGGGAGCAAACAGGAUUAGAUACCCUGGUAGUCCUGGCUGUAAACGAUGGAUACUUGCUGUGGGGGGUAUUAAAUCCCUCUGUGGCGGAGCUAACGCGAUAAGUAUCCCGCCUGGGGAGUACGGUCGCAAGUCUGAAACUCAAAGGAAUUGACGGGGGCCCGCACAAGCGGUGGAGCAUGUGGUUCAAUUCGACCACGCGAAGAACCUUACCUGGGCUUGAACUGGGGAGGAAGCAAGCAGAGAUGUUUGUGUCCUUAACCGGAUCUUUCCAGAGGUGCUGCAUGGCUGUCGUCAGCUCGUGUCGUGAGAUGUUGGGUUAAGUCCCGCAACGAGCGCAACCCUUGUCCUUAGUUGCUAACGGGUAAAGCUGGGAACCCUAAGGAGACUGUCGGCGAUAAGCCGGAGGAAGGUGGGGAUGACGUCAAGUCCUCAUGGCCUUUAUGUCCAGGGCUACACACGUGCUACAAUGGUUGGUACAAAGAGUUGCUAACCCGCAAGGGGGAGCCAAUCUCAAAAAACCGAUCUCAGUUCGGAUUGCAGUCUGCAACUCGACUGCAUGAAGCUGGAAUCGCUAGUAAUCGCGGAUCAGCAUGCCGCGGUGAAUACGUUCCCGGGCCUUGUACACACCGCCCGUCACAUCAUGAAAGCUGGUUGUACUAGAAGUCACUGAGCUAACCGCAAGGAGGCAGGUGCCCAAGGUAUGACUGGUGAUUGGGGUGAAGUCGGAACAAGGUA